rnacentral:rRNA from 1 species
UACAUAGGUGGCGAACGUUAUCCGGAAUUAUUGGGCGUAAAGGGCUCGUAGGCGGUUUGUCGCGUCGGGAGUGAAAUCCACUGGCUUAACUGGUGGCUUGCUUUCGAUACGGGCAGACUGGAGGUAUGCAGGGGAGAACGGAAUUCCUGGUGUAGCGGUGAAAUGCGCAGAUAUCAGGAGGAACACCGGUGGCGAAGGCGGUUCUCUGGGCAUGUCCUGACGCUGAGGAGCGAAAGUGUGGGGAGCGAACAGG